GCUCGCCUCAGGCUCUGCGCGGCCCGAGUCCGAGUCGGAGCCGGAGUCGGGGCUGGGGCCGGGCGGGCGAUCCGGGCCCGCGUCGGACCGAGCCGGGCAGGUCCCCGCCCCUGGCGCGCGCCGGCAUCAAGGGCUGGACUAAUCCAGGAUACUAGAGUAGAUGGACCACUACUCUGAUUCAGGAGCGAGCUGAACCAUGUGCCAGGAACAACAUGAUUCUUCCAGUAACGUUUCCCUGCCCUUGUACCAACCUGGUUCCAGCAGCCCCAGCAGGCAGGUCCUUCCUGGCACCUCCGUUACAAGCCUUUGGCACCUGGGAAUGGCUGGCCUGGAGUGAUAUCAUCUCAGACAACGCUGGUUGCAGGGCAUGUUGGGCUGGUUUCGAAGACCUGAAGCAAUGGGGGAGGGGCUGGUGCUGCAGAGGGCCACCAGCGGGGCUGCUGCAUCUGCAUGGCUGCUCAGUUCUCAUGUGGAAUAUGCCCAGUGGGUCACCUGGAUCCAGCUUCUCCAAGGACUGCAAGACGCGCAGCUCCCCCACCUGUUGCUGUGGUGACCAGUGGGGCACAGUGCUGCUCCGGGAGGCACGGCUGGGGGAUGGACGGUGUCUCCAAGAGACAUUUUCUUUUCUCCUCCCAAGUCCUGGGCUCUGGCCAGAGGGGGAGCCCAGGGGAAACAGGAGACGGCUGUGCCGGAGAAGUAAUAGUCCCGCUGGCCUCACCCAGGACCUGCUGGGUUCGGGGCAGUCUGUCCCCCAGGGUCUUGGCCAUUCCUAGCUAGGAAUGGCCUGGCAGUGAGCUCCCCACCAUUCCCCAGCCUCAGCCCUCAGUGUCCCAGAGGUCUCCUGCACAAGCCAGCAAUGGAGGAAUAGUGGGGCCCUGCAGAACAGGAACCAAAUGAGCGGAGGCGGGAUUAAAUAACACGUGGCCCAAUAUCCCAGGGGAGGUUCCCUCUGGCUCCUCACUGGAACAUCAGUCUUCUGUCCAGGCUCAGGGCUCUGGAGACCUGGGUUCCGAUCUAGCCUUGUGUCCCAGAUGGAAAGGGGGUGUCUCAUUCUCGCCCCUUCACGGCAGUGUAGUGGCAGGAAAGGGACGCCCCUGCUGCCCGGGCCAUUGGUAAAGUCCUUUGGGAUCCUGGGCUCCAGGGCGGUAAUUGCCUGCAGUGUGCUGCUCUCAGCAGAGAGCUGCAGCCACAGGCUGUCUGCCCAGGAGCCUGCAGGGACUGACAGAGACCUGGGUCCGCUUCUGAGUAAAGGAGGGAGAUGCAUAAACUCGCUGUGUUCCUGCAGAGAGAAGCGCGGCUGUCAGGGAGCUGGAGCCCCAGCCAAGGCAGAGACGCUGCCCUUGAUCCCAAGGGUGCUGUGCAAGUGACAGGGAGGCUGCAGCGCAGGUCCCUGCUGAAGGCAGAGCUGGAGCCCGCAUUGGAAAAGCACCCAGCGGGUUCCGUGGUGAGAGCCUUGUGGCCCUGCCUGUGCAGAGUCCGAGCAUUGUGCCCCCUGUCAGAGUGUGCCCCUGUGCUCACACCCUGCACGCUCUUGUAAUGAUGUUUGUACCUGAGAGUCUGGUCAGUCAGGCUGCUGAAAGCACAUGGUGAGAGAACUUUGCUUUGAAUCUAACAUCGUUUGUUAUGUUAGGCACCAGUGUUUGAUCUUUAUUUUUCUUUUAACCAUUUCUGACUUUUAUGCCUCACUACUUGGACUCCCUUAAAAUCUCUCGCUUUGUCGUUAAUAAACCUGUUUGCGUGUUUUAUCUA